UCCGGUUUGGCACCGGCAGUCCCCCUAGAGUCCCCGGCUCGGUGCGUUAGCACCUCUCCGCUGGCAACUAGGGGCGGGGGUUGCGCUCGUUGCGGGACUUAACCCAACAUCUCACGACACGAGCUGACGACAGCCAUGCAGCACCUGUGCUACGGCUCCGAAGAGGGGCCGGCGUCUCUGCCGGCUUACCGUAGCAUGUCAAGCCCAGGUAAGGUUCUUCGCGUUGCGUCGAAUUAAACCACAUGCUCCACCGCUUGUGCGGGCCCCCGUCAAUUCCUUUGAGUUUCAGCCUUGCGGCCGUACUCCCCAGGCGGGGCACUUAAUGCGUUAGCGCCGGCACCCGGGGGGUCGCUCCCCCAGGCACCUAGUGCCCAUCGUUUACGGCGUGGACUAC
rnacentral:misc_RNA from 1 species